rnacentral:lncRNA from 1 species
AUACAAAGAGUUCAAUUCUUAGAUCAAAAAGACUCAAGUUUGGAGAAAUUUGGACUUAAAAUAAAAUUAAAAUAAAAGAAGGAUGCAUAUGGUAUUAUAGAAAAUGAAGAUACUAUGCAAGGAAUCCAAAAGGAUAUAGAUGUCAUUGUGAAGAAACUUUUGUUUCUUUUUGGAAUAUAAAAAAAUGUUUCACGUGAAUUCAAAGGCUCUGGGCGCAUGAAUUCAAAACAAAAGAAA